rnacentral:rRNA from 1 species
UAGCGGCGGACGGGUGAGUAAUACUUAGGAAUCUGCCUAUUAAUGGGGGACAACAUCUCGAAAGGGAUGCUAAUACCGCAUACGCCCUACGGGGGAAAGCAGGGGAUCACUUGUGACCUUGCGUUAAUAGAUGAGCCUAAGUCGGAUUAGCUAGUUGGUGGGGUAAAGGCCUACCAAGGCGACGAUCUGUAGCGGGUCUGAGAGGAUGAUCCGCCACACUGGGACUGAGACACGGCCCAGACUCCUACGGGAGGCAGCAGUGGGGAAUAUUGGACAAUGGGGGGAACCCUGAUCCAGCCAUGCCGCGUGUGUGAAGAAGGCCUUAUGGUUGUAAAGCACUUUAAGCGAGGAGGAGGCUCUUCUAGUUAAUACCUAGGAUGAGUGGACGUUACUCGCAGAAUAAGCACCGGCUAACUCUGUGCCAGCAGCCGCGGUAAUACAGAGGGUGCGAGCGUUAAUCGGAUUUACUGGGCGUAAAGCGUGCGUAGGCGGCUUUUUAAGUCGGAUGUGAAAUCCCCGAGCUUAACUUGGGAAUUGCAUUCGAUACUGGGAAGCUAGAUAUGGGAGAGGAUGGUAGAAUUCCAGGUGUAGCGGUGAAAUGCGUAGAGAUCUGGAGGAAUACCGAUGGCGAAGGCGCCAUCUGGCCUAUACUGACGCUGAGGACGAAAGCAUGGGGAGC